AUCUAUGGCCAUGCCACCCUGAACAAACCCAAUCCCGUCUGAUCUCGGAAGCUAAGCAAGGUUGGGCCUAGUUAGUGCUUGGAUAGGAGACCACCUAGGAAGACAAGGUGCUGUAGGCG
rnacentral:rRNA from 1 species